UGGUGGGUAGUUUGACUGGGGCGGUCUCCUCCUAAAGAGUAACGGAGGAGCACGAAGGUUGGCUAAUCCUGGUCGGACAUCAGGAGGUUAGUGCAAUGGCAUAAGCCAGCUUGACUGCGAGCGUGACGGCGCGAGCAGGUGCGAAAGCAGGUCAUAGUGAUCCGGUGGUUCUGAAUGGAAGGGCCAUCGCUCAACGGAUAAAAGGUACUCCGGGGAUAACAGGCUGAUACCGCCCAAGAGUUCAUAUCGACGGCGGUGUUUGGCACCUCGAUGUCGGCUCAUCACAUCCUGGGGCUGAAGUAGGUCCCAAGGGUAUGGCUGUUCGCCAUUUAAAGUGGUACGCGAGCUGGGUUUAGAACGUCGUGAGACAGUUCGGUCCCUAUCUGCCGUGGGCGCUGGAGAACUGAGGGGGGCUGCUCCUAGUACGAGAGGACCGGAGUGGACGCAUCACUGGUGUUCGGGUUGUCAUGCCAAUGGCACUGCCCGGUAGCUAAAUGCGGAAGAGAUAAGUGCUGAAAGCAUCUAAGCACGAAACUUGCCCCGAGAUGAGUUCUCCCUGACUCCUUGAGAGUCCUGAAGGAACGUUGAAGACGACGACGUUGAUAGGCCGGGUGUGUAAGCGCAGCGAUGCGU
rnacentral:rRNA from 1 species